CCCUUAGAUGUUCUGGGCCGCACGCGCGCUACAAUGAUGAAUUCAACGAGUUUAUAACCUUGGUUGAAAAGCCUGGGUAAUCUUUUGAACUUUCGUCGUGAUGGGGCUAGACCCUUGCAAUUAUUGGUCUCCAACGAGGAAUUCCUAGUAAACGCAAGUCAUCAGCUUGCAUUGAUUACGUCCCUGCCCUUUGUACACACCGCCCGUCGCACCUACCGAUUGAAUGGUCCGGUGAAAUCUUCGGAUUGAGACUUUGACUUCUUCACGGAAAACGCUGUUUUAAAAAGUUGAUUAAACCUUACCAUUUAGAGGAAGGUGAAGUCGUAACA
rnacentral:rRNA from 1 species